GAGAGUAUAGCUCAGUGGUAGAGCGUGUGCUUAGCAUGCACGAGGUCCUGGGUUCAAUUCCCAGUACUCCUG
rnacentral:tRNA from 1 species